rnacentral:misc_RNA from 1 species
GGUCUUCCAAAUACCAUAAGAAACUAAUUUCAGCAACUUCAACAGCAAUCUAAAAGUUGUUCCAAUACAGCAGAUCGUUUCUAAGGCUCAAAAGCGUACGAAACAUUACUAUAUUUAUAUCCAAACACAAACUCCAACUAGAACUCCAAAAAGCACAAGGUCUCUUGAAGAAAGUAACCGCUUGACUACCACAAUGUAGAAGGACAUCAGUAAAGGGUGCAAAUGCAGAAGCCAAAGUAGAUAGCAAUCAAAAUCAUCAAACCAGACUUAAAAACAUCUGCAUUCAUCCAGAACCACUAAAAGCAGCUGCACCAAGCUGUCAAAACACCUCAGUAAUAUGAAUGCAUCCCCUGGUACAUACCCCCAGGUGCAACUCUAGGUGCAGCUGAUGCCCCAGGGCCUUGGUUUUGUAGCCCGUGAGGUUGAUGUAAAGGACCGUAAUGAGAACCCUGUGGUGGAUAAUCUCCCGAGGGCAUCCCGGCUGAGCUUGGGGGUAACCCAUACAUUGAAGAUCCACGGCCAGCACCACCUAAUGUACUACCAGCGCCAGGUAAUCCACCAGCAGCACCUCCCACUGCCCCAGCACCGCCAUAACCACUACCGGUCAACCCGCCAUAUCCAGCUGAACCAGCUCCACCAUAAUGAGACCCCCCACCAUAUGGACCACCAAUCCCUGAACCGUACCCACCACCCACAGAUUGGUUCCCAUAAGAUGAACCACCAGGACCACCCACACCGAUACCAUUUCCACUACCCAAUGCCGAAUUGGGACCAUGUCCAUGCCCGCCAUAUGAAGAAUGACCUGAAAAUCCACCAUAACCACUAGGCGCACCAUAUUGCCCAGGACCCAUCGGAUCACCAUGUCCAUCUGUUUGAACCUGAGCUCCUCCUGGACCUCCUACACCAGGCUUUUUCUUCCCAUCAAUAGCCAGCUUACAGUUCAAUUGAUGCCCAUCAAUAUUCUUAACAGGAUCCACCAACGAAGACUGUGCUGCCUCCGCCGUCUUGUACACAAACAAAGCAUACCCUUUUGACUUCCCAGUGGCCUUAUCAAACCCUAACGGUCCUUCCUCUAUCUCCCCAUACAUCAAAAAAUGCUGUAAAAUCCUCUCGGAUUGCAUAUCAUACGGCACAUUAGAUACAUAAAUCUUCCUCAACGACACAUCCACUGGAUUAUUCGAACUCCCACCACCAGGGCCACCUUGAAUCCCAGCUGAAGCAAGCUGAGUAACCGUAACUCGGCCAUCAACGUGUUUACUCGGUUGCUUUAACGCAAGUAAAGCUCCAUCAACAUGCUUAAACGUAACAAAUCCAUAACCUUUGCUCUUCCCAGUAUUUUUAUCAAGAAUAACAACAGCUUCUUCUAACUCACCGAAUGUCCCAAAAAUUGACCUGAUUUUUUCAGUCGUAGUUUCCCAGCCAAGCCCACGAACAAAAAGCUUUCUUUUAGUAGGGUCACGAUCGACGAUUUCUCGAACUUGAUCAAGCACGUCGGGAUGACGAACGACAGCAUUUUGUAAGAUUUCUACCAUUUGUUCAGGUGUAACAGAUUCAAGAAUCUUCCGACCAUCUUCGAUCGAAAGCCUAUUCGCAACAGGAACGUCAGUGCCGACGCCGUUGUCCUCAAGCUUCCUCUUCUUCAUCUGGUCCAUUUUCUGGAGCUCAAAAACUCUACCG